CCGUCGCGCGAGGGCCCGGAGGCCUUGCAGAGCUUGCGCGCGAUGCGGGCGUACAUGACCACGAUGAGCGCCAGCGGCGCCAGGUAGAUGUGCGCGAAGAGCACGGCGGUGUAGACCUUGCGCAUGCCCUUCUCGGGCCAGGCCUCCCAGCACGAGUAGAGGGGGUAGGAGCGGUUGCGCGCGUCCACCAUGAAGUGGUGCUCCUCGCGCGUGACUGUCAGCGUGACGGCCGAGGGACACAUGAUGAGCAGCGCCAGGGCCCAGAUGACCGCGAUGGUGACCAGCGCCUUCCGCAGGGUCAGCUUCUCUCGGAAAGGGUGCACAAUGCAGCGGAACCUGCGGCUGGAAGCACCCUUUCCUUUUCCCACAGCCGGACUCAAGACUUGCAGCCCCAACCUCUGUGACCUUGACCUCCUUGGCUUCAGAGGAUUGCAUACUCUAGAAAUCUCCAGAGAGCAAGUAAUUGGUUUUUUUUUUUAAAUGUUUUUGUUUUGUUUUGUUUUUUUGAGACAGGGUCUCACUACAUAGUUGAGACUGACCUGGAACUCACUGUGUAGCCCAGGCUGGUCUCGAACUCACAGUGAUCCUCCUGCCUCAGCCUCCUGAGUGCUGGGAUUACAGGCAUGCGCCAACACACCCGGCCGUGAGAACAAGUAAUUCUGAGAG
rnacentral:lncRNA from 1 species